rnacentral:pre_miRNA from 1 species
UGAUCAUGAUCCUGAUGAUGAUGAUGAUGAUGAUGAUGAUGAUGAUGAUGAUCAUCAUCAUCAUCAUCAUCAUAAUUAUUUUUAUUA